GGCAGCCCCAUCAAAUUCAGCAUUGUCCGCUGCGGUUGGUGCUGGCCCAGCCACCUGCUACGGAAGUAACCUGCAGCUCAUGGGCCUCAUGUCGUAGGAUCGGUUUGGGUUGGAAGGGACCUUA
rnacentral:snoRNA from 1 species